rnacentral:rRNA from 1 species
AUGUGGGCGAUCUGGAUGUCUCGAAACCGACUGGCGCAUGAUAAGGAGGGGUGGAAUCCAACUUACUCUGUCAGGCGGAUCAGGGAAGACCUCGCCAUCCUAGAUAUACCUAGGCAGCAGGGUGUCACGCUACCCGGCUAUGGCUGGGAGCCCCCCGACGACCCCUUUAUCAAGAUCAACACAGAUGUCGCGGUUCAUCUCGACGAUAGCAAUGCUAGAGCGGGAGGUGUCGCUCGUUCGUCCUCAGGCUUCAAGGGUGCAUGGUGCAAGCCGAUUCCUGGUGUUAUGGAUCCUCCCAUUGCAGAGGCGUUAGCACUGAAGGAAGGAGUUCUUCUAGCUACACUUCAAGGCUUCACACAUGUGAUCAUGGUGACUGACUGUCUAGAGGCAGUUAACCUCUGA